CCUACGGGAGGCAGCAGUGAGGAAUAUUGGUCAAUGGACGCAAGCCUGAACCAGCCAUGCCGCGUGCAGGAAGACGGCUCUAUGAGUUGUAAACUGCUUUUGUACGAGGGUAAACGCAGAUACGCGUAUCUGUCUGCAAGUAUCGUACGAAUAAGGACCGGCUAAUUCCGUGCCAGCAGCCGCGGUAAUACGGAGGAUUCAAGCGUUAUCCGGAUUUAUUGGGUUUAAAGGGUGCGUAGGCGGUCGGGUACGUUAGCGGUGAAAUCCCGAGGCUCAACUUCGGAAUUGCCUCGGAUACUGUGCGGCUAGAGAGUAGAUGCGGUAGGCGGAAUGUAUGGUGUAGCGGUGAAAUGCUUAGAGAGCAUACAGAACACCGAGUGCGAAGGCAGCUUACCAAGCUGCUUCUGACGUUGAGGCACGAAAGCGUGGGGAGCAAACAGGAUUAGAUACCCCAGUAGUC
rnacentral:rRNA from 1 species